rnacentral:rRNA from 1 species
ACCGUAAGGUGAGAGGAAGUGGGAUGACGUCAAAUCAGCAGGCCCUUAUGUCCAGGGCUACACACGUGUUACAAUGGCCGGUACAGAGGGCAGCUACCUGGUGACAGGAUGCUAAUCUCGAAAACCGGUCUCAGCUCGGAUCGAAGUCUGCAACUCGACUUCGUGAAGCUGGAUUCGCUAGUAAUCGCGCAUCAGCCAUGGCGCGGUGAAUACGUUCCCGGCCUU